rnacentral:rRNA from 1 species
CCUACGGGCGGCAGCAGUGGGGGAUAUUGCACAAUGGGGGAAACCCUGAUCCAGCGACGCCGCGUGAGUGAUGAAGGAUUUCGGGAUGUAAAGCUCUUUUAGCAGGGAAGAAAAUGGCAGUACCUGCCCAAGAUUCCCCGGCUAACUACGUGCCAGCAGACGCGGUAAUACGGAGGGGGCAAGCGUUAUCCGGAUUUACUGGGUGUAAAGGGUGCGUAGACGGUUAUGUAAGUCUGGAGUGAAAGGCCCGGGCCCAACCCCGGGACUGCUGUGGAAACUGUGUAAUUGGAGUACAGGAAGGGCAGGCGGAAUUCCUGGUGUAGCGGUGAAAUGCGUAGAUAUCAGGAAGAACACCGGCUGCGAAGGCGGCUUGCUGGACUGAAACUGACGCUGAUGCUCGAAAGCGUGGGGAGCAAACAGGAUUAGAUACCCGUGUAGUC